rnacentral:rRNA from 1 species
CCUAAAGCAUCCGUAGCCGGCUCUGUAAGUUUUCGGUUAAAUCUGUACGCUCAACGUACAGGCUGCCGGGAAUACUUGCAGAGCUAGGGAGUGGGAGAGGUAGACGGUACUCGGUAGGAAGGGGUAAAAUCCUUUGAUCUAUUGAUGACCACCUGUGGCGAAGGCGGUCUACCCAGAACACGUCCCGACGGUGAGGGAUGAAAGCUGGGGGAGCAAACCGGAUUAGAUACCCGGGUAGUCCCAGCUGUAAACUAUGCAAACUCAGUGAUGCAUUGGCUUGUGGCCAAUGCAGUGCUGCAGGGAAGCCGUUAAGUUUGCCGCCUCCUAAAGCAUCCGUAGCCGGCUCUGUAAGUUUUCGGUUAAAUCUGUACGCUCAACGUACAGGCUGCCGGGAAUACUUGCAGAGCUAGGGAGUGGGAGAGGUAGACGGUACUCGGUAGGAAGGGGUAAAAUCCUUUGAUCUAUUGAUGACCACCUGUGGCGAAGGCGGUCUACCCAGAACACGUCCCGACGGUGAGGGAUGAAAGCUGGGGGAGCAAACCGGAUUAGAUACCCGGGUAGUCCCAGCUGUAAACUAUGCAAACUCAGUGAUGCAUUGGCUUGUGGCCAAUGCAGUGCUGCAGGGAAGCCGUUAAGUUUGCCGCCU